ACGGAGGCCACUGCUGUAUGACUUCCACCCAGGCCAGUUCUACUGCUACAUGGGACUAACAGUCCAGGCCUGCUGGGGCCUUCCUGAGACUUCUCUCUCUCCAUCAACCCAACUUAUAGAACAAUAGCAGAGUAUGUCUACUCAACCGACCAGAAAUAUGACCUUAGAAGAGGUUAUCGGCCUUAUGUCUGCAGCCCACCCACCUGCCUUGUCACUAAAUCUUGCUAUAACAGCCAGGAGAGGAGAUGAAAGGGGGUGGCGAUGUCUCUACUGCCCCCCAGAGGAUGGUUCACAGACUGGUAGGGGAAAACAACAUCUUCAAGGCAACUCUUCUUCAAACGCAUCUCUUGUGAUUAUGCACAAGCCAGUAUCAUGAUAUGCUAUGGAAAUUUGCUCAUACUGAGAAAAGUGCAUGUGUUAAUUUGGGUUUUAUAGGUAUUGAAUAUAGGUUUAUCAUUAGUGAUCUAAAAAGCUCUGAAUGGAAAAUAAUUUAACAAAGCUCCAUUUCAUAAAAAUAAAAGCAAUUAAUUUAGGGACUGUUCUGUUCCUAACAACAUUAUUACUACAGUAAUUACAGUGUUACUACACAUAUUGGAUUCAGUGCGAAUUUUAGAAUGCCUGAAAUGUGUUCCUCUAUUCAUUUUUGAUAACACCAGCAGUGCGCCAAACAUUUUGGCUGAUUUUGCAGUCUCCUCUCCUCUGGCAUAGAUCAACCUGUAAUGUCCUUCCUAGAUCUCAGUCAAGGGAAUCAUCACUCUGAACAUAAAAUAUCCUCAUACCCUUUGCCAUAAAUUGUGGUGUAGAAAGAGAAGUGGUGGUAGUGAAGGGAUGUAAUGCAGCUAGAUAGAGGAAAUAAAAUCACUGAA